rnacentral:rRNA from 1 species
CAGUCGCCACGGUAAUACGUAGGGUCCGAGCGUUGUCCGGAAUUAUUGGGCGUAAAGGGCUCGUAGGCGGUUUGUCGCGUCGGGAGUGAAAACCAGCAGCUUAACUGCUGGCCUGCUUUCGAUACGGGCAGACUUGAGGCAUUCAGGGGAGAACGGAAUUCCUGGUGUAGCGGUGAAAUGCGCAGAUAUCAGGAGGAACACCGGUGGCGAAGGCGGUUCUCUGGGAAUGUUCUGACGCUGAGAAGCGAAAGUGUGGGGAGCGAACAGGAUUAGAUACCCCUGUAGUCCCUGUCUCUUAUAC